CUCCGCCUGCCCCGGGGCCAGGCCAAGGCAUUGCAUCUACUGCCAAAGAAAAAUCCAGAGGGAGCAGGGUCUCAGGAAGAGGUCCUCCAGAGUCAAGAGCCUGCAACCCAGGCAUCAGUUCAAAUCACCGGCACACUCUUCCAGGCCGGGAGUCUCCGGUCUGUAAACCUUCAAUCACCAAAGCCCAGCCAGUGUUCCAGGCCUCUACUUCAGGCACCAAGACAGGCCAGCGCGUCCCCAAAGUCCAGGCCUUCUGUCUCAAAGAGGACUUCUCAGACCUUGGGAAGCCACAGAGACACCUUGAAGGGCUGGCUGGCCGGAAGCCAGGUGUGUUCUCCUGCCCUGAACCCUGGGAACCCCUUGUGGAGUCUGCUUUCCCCUAGUUGAAGAGACCAGAGGCCCAAGGCCUCAUUCAGCCUUCAGUGUAUCCAAUAAAGCCUAACCCUG
rnacentral:lncRNA from 1 species